AAUAUAUUCGCUCUGUCCCAUAUUAAUUGUCUUAAAUUUGUCUAGAGGCGGAUGUAUCUAGACAUGUUUCAUUGUUAGAUACCUCCGUAUCUAGACAAAUCUAAUACAACUAAUUUAGAGUGGAGGUAAUAUGUU
rnacentral:pre_miRNA from 1 species